rnacentral:lncRNA from 1 species
CUUGCUCAUAAACUGCUGCAGUAGCCUCUUCUGUGCUUCUACCCUCAUCUCCACCCAAUCCAUUUCCCACAUACAUAGCGCCUUAAUACCCUUAUUAUCCUUAAAAAAAAAAAUCAGAUCAUUGCCACUUUAAGCUCCAUAGGUUUAAACCUGCUACCCUAGCCUAUAAGGCCCUGAAGGGUCUGCCUCCUUCUCACUUGACUGACUUCAUCUUUACCGCUGCAAGCCUGGCUCAUUAUCAUCUACCGAUCCUGGUAUUUUAUAGCCAUGUUCUGUGAGCAGUGUAGAACUUACCAUGUGCCAGUCACUGACACUGGCGUGCCCCAGGUAUCAGUUGUUUAAAUAAGCCUGAAGUUACUUGUUGGUUU